UAUUUUAAUGUGCUGCUGUUGCUCAGAGUAAUUAUUAUCAGUAGGUGUGAGAAUUCCUACAUUAAUGUACAUGCCACAUAAAGUCAUAAUGGUAUUCAGUAUAACAAUGCAGGAAAUUGCAUGCUUUUUUCUGUAUCACUUCAGGAGACUCUUCUGGUUUUCUGGCUUGGAUGCUCAUGUUGGAAGACUUCAGUGGAGCCCUUGAGUCGGAUGAAGGCAGCUGGAAUAUAAAGCAAGCCCAAAAAUCUGCUGGUGUUUCCCUGGAGAGUGGCUUGUGAGAGAUUACAGACUUUGAGCAUAAAGUUGCCAAAGUGCUUACAAUUGACAUCAAAUACAAGGCAAAGUGCCAUUAUGAAAAUGAAUGUCUGCUAAGAUAAAGUGUUUGGGAGACUGCAAAGGACUUGUGCUGAGAUACACUGAACAAUGAGGAAGUGAGGCAACAUCCAUGUUCCAUAUGAAAAGAUUGUCCCUUUCUGACUGCAGACUACAGGAAGAGGGAUUAUUCCAAAAUGAAGGCUCAGUGAACCCAGGCUUUCAACUGCAAGUACAAGUCCUGCAUACAUUUCCCUUUUCAGCUGGUAACUGGAUGAAUUUUAAAGACUCCCCCACCAUUUAUGAAACCGUACAACAUCAGGGACUUGAUCUUCAAUGCCACAAAAGGGAAUUUGAUGCCUGAGUUUUAGGAGUGUUUUACAGACUUCUUUGAGGCCUUCCUCAGCAGGCAGUGCAGGAUGCUGCCAGCCACAUCCCCAUAUUAGCACAAGAAGAUACUCCAAAAAGUACUUCACAAACAGGAAUGAUGUGCAGAGUUCCUUGUGCUCCAGACAUAGCCUGGGGUCAGAUCCAUGGCUACAGUACUGGAUCUCAUCUCAAGAGCAACUCAGGUAUGCUCCACCUAAACAGAGCAUGGAGAGCUCUUGUCAUUUUGGAAACUGCACACCAGACUGUGGUACAGAAGGACCACACCUUUGUCUCUUCUACAGGAAGAACAAAGUUUUAAAAAGCAUCCCUGACGUUCCCUGGUUCAAUUGCUCACCUACUGUACAGUUGAGUGAACACUUAAGGAAGUUGCAAAGCAAUGCAGCCUGUCUGGGACAUGAAGGAAUGUAGAGCGGGAUAAUCACAACAUCAUCAACCCAAUUCUCCAAGCCAGCUCACUAAGCUACCCCGUGCUCAUUAAGGCUUCUGCUUUGCUAAUCAACGAUUGUACAUGUCAUCAUCAGGCCUAGAGUUAUUCUGCUACUGCUGAUUAUCUGGGAAGGAAUCAAGACUGAUAUCUCCAUCCAUUCAUAGAAGAGUACCACCAAAAUCAGAAUGGUGAAGCCAUUGUUUGCUGUAGAAAACUAGCAGAGCUAUCUGCAAAAAGCUUAAUGACUUACAGCUGGAUGGCUCAGUAAAGUCCUAAUAAUUUCCUGUAAAAUGUAUAGCGUUUAUAAAAAGGAGCUGAAGGAAGGAAAAUGAUGUCCAAAUAAUUCCUAACUUUUCAUUGACACAAAGGAUUUCCUGAGCUGUCAGCACAUUCUUCUGAUCUGUGUCCUUUUCUGCAGUUAGGAAGUCCAGGGUGCCAUUGGCAUCCCUACUCUUUUGAGUGAAGAAAGAAAGGAGAAUAUAGUUUCUGUGCAAAGAAUUCAGCAUCUCUUUUUGAUGUAGUGAAAUUUUUUGAAGUAUCUUAGGAGAGUGUGUUUGAAGCAAGGGGUCUUUGCAACUGGACUACUACAAGCACAUUAUCCCACACUGGUAUAAUGUGAAGUAGUAGAGAUGCUCCCCUUAGUUGCGUAGGAUCACCCCAGAUCCAUAAUCAGAAACGGGAAAUCAUAAUCAAGGAAAGGCCUAAAAAAAGCCUAAGAAAAGGCCACUUUCCAUGAUCUUCUUCUAUAUUAAAUAAAUUUAUUUUGGAAUAAAAACAAAUCUAUCUCUGAUUUCUGCAUUUUAUCUCCUCAGUCUAAUAUUCCUGCCCAGACCUGUAAUAUAAGCAUGGGGUGAAUAUUACAGAUUCUGACUUUACCUGCAGUCAUGAUGCUUUGCUCCCAAUAUUCAACGCAGUGCAAUAUAAAUCCUGAUGUUGUGUCCAUGACAGAAUGCAAUCAGAUCAGCUGAAAAUUAAUCUCUUCCUAAUUUUUAUCUAUAUAGGAUGAUACAAGAAAAGGAGCAUAGACUGUUCAUGGGAAACCAUAAGUAUUUGGAAGAGAACAUUUAUAUUUAUUUACAUAAAUGAAUAUAUGUACUUAUAUAAACAAACCAGGAAUAAAUGGAAGAAAAUACCAACAGGAAAUAGAGCAAAUGAAUUAUAAACUCUAAGCAUCAGAAAAAUAAAUCAUAUAAAUGAAUGCUGCAGUAAAAACCCUGUUUUAUAAGCAAUUGUGACCUGUUUGAGAGGGAAAUGAGAAAGGCUGCCAAAAGCAUAUCUUAUCCAUCUGUCCAG